CCUACGGGAGGCAGCAGUGGGGAAUUUUCCGCAAUGGGCGAAAGCCUGACGGAGCAACGCCGCGUGAGGGAUGAAGGCCUCUGGGCUGUAAACCUCUUUUAUCAAGGAAGAAGAUCUGACGGUACUUGAUGAAUAAGCCACGGCUAAUUCCGUGCCAGCAGCCGCGGUAAUACGGGAGUGGCAAGCGUUAUCCGGAAUUAUUGGGCGUAAAGCGUCCGCAGGCGGUCUUGUAAGUCUGUCGUUAAAGCGUGGAGCUUAACUCCAUUUCGGCGGUGGAAACUACAAGACUAGAGUGUGGUAGGGGCAGAGGGAAUUCCCGGUGUAGCGGUGAAAUGCGUAGAUAUCGGGAAGAACACCAGUGGCGAAGGCGCUCUGCUGGGCCAUAACUGACGCUCAUGGACGAAAGCUAGGGGAGCGAAAGGGAUUAGAUACCCCUGUAGUCCUAGCCGUAAACGAUGAACACUAGGUGUCGGGGGAAUCGACCCCCUCGGUGUCGUAGCUAACGCGUUAAGUGUUCCGCCUGGGGAGUACGCACGCAAGUGUGAACUUAAAGGAAUUGA
rnacentral:rRNA from 1 species